GAUGAAGAACGCAGCGAAAUGCGAUAAGUAGUGUGAAUUGCAGAAUUCAGUGAAUCAUCGAAUCUUUGAACGCACAUUGCGCCCCUUGUUAUCCCGAGGGGCAUGCCUGUUCGAGCGUCAUUUCACCACUCAAGCCUGGCUUGGUGUUGGGCGACGUCCUCUUUGGGGACGCGCCUCGAAACGCUCGGCGGCGUGGCACCGGCUUUAAGCGUAGCAGAAUCUUUCGCUUUGGAAGUCGGGGCCCCGUCUGCCGGAAGACCUGCUCGCAAGGUUGACCUCGGAUCAGGCAGGGAUACCCGCUGAACUUAAGCAUAUCAAUAAGCGGAGGA
rnacentral:misc_RNA from 1 species